AUCACGUCUUGGCCUUUUGGCUAAGAUCAAGUGUAGUAUUUUUUUUUUUUUUUUUGAGACAGAGUCUCACUCUGUUGCCCAGGCUGGAGUGCAGUGGCGCGAUCUUGGCUCGCUGCAACCUCC
rnacentral:snRNA from 1 species